ACAGUUGGCAGUAUUUCCUGUUCGUCUUUAAUUCAAUGUACUUUUCCAAAAGAAAUCCCCUCCUUCAGUAAAGUGCUUAUGCGCGGUGUGUAACCAGAGACAGUAGAGAAAUCAUUCCCAGACCAUCUCUGGUGUAUCUUCAGGAAGAGAAGAACCAAUAGCCUACAGCUGAAUCAAGUGCAGCAUUGCCAAAGGUGAAGCAGGGAUGUUGUGUGAAAGCGCACUCUGGGGCAUUGAUCACCAUGAAGACUUGGCGAGAGAACUCACUCCUGCUCACGCGUCCCUAUCAGAGCCAACAUCAGACCGGGGUAGUUUCUACCCUCAUCUCUCCGAAUGCGCCAACAUCGGGGUUGAUGGCAGGGAAAAUAUGGAAAACCAUAUCAUGAAAGAGGCGGUGAAACAGAGAUCGGCUCAUCAAGAAAAGGGACUGGUCCCAGGAGACCAACUAGUGAGGAAUAUGGCAUCACCCCAUUCUACAGAGCGGUUUGGACCAACAGGGAGAGGGAAGUCAUCAGGAGCCGGACGGACACUGGUACCCUGUCAGAUUUCAUCUCCAAGUCUCUCGCAGAGUCGCACUAAAAACUAUGUCGUGUAAAGCUUGCCUCUUCAUUCUCCAUGGACAUAUUUAACAGUGGCUUAUGGAACAAUGUUAUUUAUUUUGUAUGUCAUUUCACUAUCCUUCAUAACCUAUGCUUUUUCGCUGACACGAUCGCCAGUUGUACGGUGUUUCCUCCGACACAACGGUGGGGCUGGCUUUCGGCGAGCAGUGUGUCAAGUAGCAGUGUGGCUUGUCAUGGUUGUGUUUCGGAGGACGCAUGACUUUCGACCUUCGCCUCUCUGGAGUCGGUACGGGAGUUGUAGCAAUGCGACAAGACUGACUGUAACUACCAAUUGGAUAUCAGGAACAUGUGGAGAAAAAGUGGUAAAAAGUACAAACAAAAAUGAUAAUAACCUGUGCUUGAUAUCCUGUUCAACCCUUCCUGUGAAUUAAAUAGCAUUACAGGCCUA